rnacentral:rRNA from 1 species
GACGAACGCUGGCGGCGUGCUUAACACAUGCAAGUCGAACGGAAAGGCCCUGCUUUUGUGGGGUUCUCGAGUGGCGAACGGGUGAGUAACACGUGAGUAACCUGCCCUUUACUUUGUGAUAACUUCAGGAAACUGGGGCUAAUACCUGAUAGUAUCUCCUGCUGCAUUGUGGGGGUUGGUAAGUUUCGGCGGUUGGGGAUGGACUCGCGGCUUAUCAGCUUGUUGGUGGGGUAGUGGCUUACCAAGGCUUUGACGGGUAGCCGGCCUGAGAGGGUGACCGGCCACAUUGGGACUGAGAUACGGCACAGACUCCUACGGGAGGCAGCAGUGGGGAAUAUUGCACAAUGGGCGGAAGCCUGAUGCAGCAACGCAGCGUGCGGGAUGACGGCCUUCGGGUUGUAAACCGCUUUCGCCUGUGACGAAGCGUGAGUGACGGUAAUGGGUAAAGAAGCACCGGCUAACUACGUG